rfam:Picea glauca, whole genome shotgun sequence.
AUGUAUAUGCCUACUACAUAGCAUUAAUGCACUAGAUCCCAUUAUAACUCUGCAUUUAAGCGCACUCAGGCUAGAUUAGUACUGGGAUGGGUGACCAUUAGGAAAGUCCUAUUAUUUUACAUG